UCCCUGAUGGUCCAGUGGUUAAGAUUAUGCUCUUCCAAUGCAGGGGGUACAGGUUCGAUCCUUGGUCAGUGAA
rfam:Ovis aries breed Texel chromosome 16, whole genome shotgun sequence.